rnacentral:rRNA from 1 species
GCAAGUCGAGCGCACCCUUCGGGGCGAGCGGCGGACGGGUUAGUAACGCGUGGGAACGUGCCCUUCUCUAUGGAAUAGCCAUUGGAAACGAUGAGUAAUACCAUAUACGCCCUUCGGGGGAAAGAUUUAUCGGAGAAGGAUCGGCCCGCGUUAGAUUAGAUAGUUGGUGGGGUAAUGGCCUACCAAGUCUACGAUCAAUAGCUGGUUUGAGAGGAUGAUC